rnacentral:ncRNA from 1 species
UAAACAGAAUAUCUCCGAGUCUGUAAUUCCUGCCAGAGAAAAUCUAAUGGAAUACAGAACGAUAGGGUAUUAUUAGAAAUAAUAGUGCCUCCCAUUUGGAAAGGAGACUGAUGAUAUGCUUA